rnacentral:rRNA from 1 species
UACGUAGGGAGCAAGCGUUGUCCGGAAUCAUUGGGCGUAAAGCGCGCGUAGGUGGCUUCAUAAGUCCGAUGUGAAAGUCAAAGGCUCAACCUUUGAAAGCCGAUGGAUACUGUGAAGCUAGAGUACGGAAGAGGCGAGUGGAAUUCCUGGUGUAGCGGUGGAAUGCGCAGAUAUCAGGAGGAACACCAAUAGCGAAGGCAGCUCGCUGGGACGUUACUGACACUGAGGCGCGAAAGCGUGGGGAGCGAACAGG